UGGGGAAUAUUGCACAAUGGGGGAAACCCUGAUGCAGCCAUGCCGCGUGUGUGAAGAAGGCCUUCGGGUUGUAAAGCACUUUCAGUAGGGAGGAAAGGUAGCAGCUUAAUACGUUGUUACUGUGACGUUACCUACAGAAGAAGGACCGGCUAACUUCGUGCCAGCAGCCGCGGUAAUACGAGGGGUCCAAGCGUUAAUCGGAAUUACUGGGCGUAAAGCGUACGCAGGCGGUUCAUUAAGCCAGAUGUGAAAUCCCCGGGCUCAACCUGGGAAUUGCAUUUGGAACUGGUGAACUAGAGUCUUGUAGAGGGGGGUAGAAUUUCAGGUGUAGCGGUGAAAUGCGUAGAGAUCUGAAGGAAUACCGGUGGCGAAGGCGGCCCCCUGGACAAAGACUGACGCUCAUGUACGAAAGCGUGGGGAGCAAACA
rnacentral:rRNA from 1 species